GGGGAUUAAUUGGAAAUUACAUUGUGCCUAUAGACCCCAGAGCUCAGGACAGGUAGAAAGAAUAAAUAAAACAAUAAAAGAGACCCUUACUAAAUUGACCUUAGAGACUGGUUUAAAAGAUUAGAGACGCCUCCUAUCCUUAACUCUGUUAAGGGCCCAAAAUACACCUAACCGUUUUAGGCUCACUCCAUAUGAAAUCCUCUACGGAGGACCUCCCCCUUUGUCAACCUUGCUUAACUCCUUCUCCCCCUCCGAUCCUAAAACUGACCUACAGGCUCGGCUAAAAAGACUCCAAGCAGUACAGGCCCAAAUCUGGGCCCCCUUGGCAGAACUGUACCAACCAGGACAUCCACAGACCAGUCACCCCUUCCAGCCAUAAAGGUUGACGGAAUCUCCACUUAGAUCCACGCAUCCCACGCCAAGGCUGCUCCAGAGACGUCCGGACCAACACCACUUAAGACAUGGAAACUCCGACGCUCCGCGGACCCGCUCAAGAUAAGACUCUCUCGUAUCUAACUCCUUGCUUAUUGUUUGCCCUUCUUCCCUGCGCCGUCUCUAGUGUAGUUUUUGACGCUAACCCCCCACCGGCCAUUUAGCCUGACCUGACAGAUAAUUAAUUUUAAUAAUCAAGAGGUCUUAAAUAAGACCUCCGAGAAUGCUCCUAUAAAGACUUGGUUUCCAGACCUCUAUUUCAACCUAAAAAAAA